CUCUCUGGGUGGCGAGUGGCGGACGGGUGAGGAAUACAUCGGAAUCUACUUUUUCGUGGGGGAUAACGUAGGGAAACUUACGCUAAUACCGCAUACGACCUACGGGUGAAAGCAGGGGAUCUUCGGACCUUGCGCGAUUGAAUGAGCCGAUGUCGGAUUAGCUAGUUGGCGGGGUAAAGGCCCACCAAGGCGACAAUCCGUAGCUGGUCUGAGAGGAUGAUCAGCCACACUGGAACUGAGACACGGUCCAAACUCCUACGGGAGGCAGCAGUGGGGAAUAUUGGACAAUGGGCGCAAGCCUGAUCCAGCCAUACCGCGUGGGUGAAGAAGGCCUUCGGGUUGUAAAGCCCUUUUGUUGGGAAAAAAUCCAGCUGGCUAAUACCCGGUUGGGAUGACGGUACCCAAAGAAUAAGCACCGGCUAACUUCGUGCCAGCAGCCGCGGUAAUACGAAGGGUGCAAGCGUUACUCGGAAUUACUGGGCGUAAAGCGUGCGUAGGUGGUCGUUUAAGUCCGUUGUGAAAGCCCUGGGCUCAACCUGGGAACUGCAGUGGAUACUGGGCGACUAGAGUGUGGUAGAGGGUAGCGGAAUUCCUGGUGUAGCAGUGAAAUGCGUAGAGAUCAGGAGGAACAUCCAUGGCGAAGGCAGCUACCUGGACCAACACUGACACUGAGGCAC
rnacentral:rRNA from 1 species